CUAGCGGCGCGUUUCAGGCAUGCAAGUCGCACGGCACCAGCCCUUCGGGGUGUUGGCGAGUGGCGCACGGGUGAGUAACGCGUAGGUCAUCUGCCCUUAGGUCAGGGAUAGCCCUUCGAAAGUUGGAUUAAUACCUGAUAAUAUGGCGACAUCAAAGGAUUUAUUCGCCUAAGGAUGAGCCUGCGUUAGAUUAGCUUGUUGGUGAGGUAACGGCUCACCAAGGCGACGAUCUAUAGCCGAGUUGAGAGGCUGAUCGGCCACAUUGGAACUGAGACACGGUCCAGACUCCUACGGGAGGCAGCAGCUAAGAAUCUUCCGCAAUGGGCGCAAGCCUGACGGAGCGACGCCGCGUGAACGAUGAAGGCCUUUCGGGUUGUAAAGUUCUUUUAUAAGAGACGAAUGUCUGGUGUAGGCCAGACUGACUGUAUCUUUUGAAUAAGGUCCGGCUAACUACGUGCCAGCAGCCGCGGUAAUACGUAGGGACCAAGCGUUGUUCGGAAUUAUUGGGCGUAAAGGGUACGUAGGCGGCACGAUAAGUCAGAUGUGAAACCCUCGGGCUCAACCUGAGGCCUGCGUCUGAUACUGUUGUGCUAGAGUUACUGAGAGGAAGACGGAAUUCCUGGUGUAGGGGUGAAAUCUAUAGAUAUCAGGAAGAACACCUAUUGCGAAGGCAGUCUUCUGGCAGCUAACUGACGCUGAUGUACGAAAGUUAGGGUAGCAAACAGGAUUAGAGACCCUGGUAGUCCUAACCGUAAACGUUGUAUACUAGGUGGUUGAAGUAUCGAUCCUUUGACUGCCGGAG
rnacentral:rRNA from 1 species